CUCCAGCCGACAAGCAAAAGUGAAGGCGCACGGCCGGCGGCGUGCGUAGUACGUGUACGUACGUCCCUGCAGCCCGGCGGCCGAUUGGGAGGCAGAGCAAGGUCAGUAGCAAAGCCACCUACCUACUUACUACACUACUCCUGCUAGCUGAUGAGACACGAGCCCCGUCGUACGGCCGGCCCCGGUCCUGUGACCAUCCAUGGAUCCCGAUGAGACGAGCAAGGAAACAGAGGAGAGAGAAGAGGAGGUGUCAGUGAGCGUGAGGUGGUGCAGUAUUAUUGGUAGGUGAGGCACAAAUUAUGAGGAGGACAGGGAUGGCUACCUGCAUUGGAUCUGGUGGAUGCGUAGAUCCAUCCACUCCGCACUGCUCCACCCUUUUCUCCUGCAGUGCAGCUCCAAUUCACACCCCCCCUCUCUCUUUCUCUCUCUUUUGUUUAUUAAUUAAUAAUUAUUAGUUUCCUUUUCUUUUUUUUUCUUUCUCUCUCUAUCUUUCUUUCUUUUUUCUGUGGUCCCUCCUAUAUAUUAUUAACUUGAUCUGCGAGGGGAACCAGGAGAGAUGUGCGUUGUACAUAGCUGCCUCCACUUGACAAUAAUAUUAUUGCAACG
rnacentral:lncRNA from 7 species